rfam:Dipodomys ordii contig_15823, whole genome shotgun sequence.
GGGAAAGUGGCUCAGUGGUAGAGUGCUUGCCUUGCAUGCAUGAGGCCCUGGGUUCGAUUCCUUAGCACCA